AGACGUCUACAUUAGAUACCCGCGUAGUCCCAGCCGUAAACUAUGCGCGUUAGGUGUAUCGGUGACCACGAGUCACCGAGGUGCCGAAGGGAAACCGUGAAACGUGCCGCCUGGGAAGUACGGUCGCAAGGCUGAAACUUAAAGGAAUUGGCGGGGAGCACCACAACGGGUGGAGCCUGCGAUUUAAUUGGACUCAACGCCGGGAAGCUCACCGGAUAAGACAGCGGAAUGAUUGCCGGGCUGAAGACUCUGCAUGACUAGCUG
rnacentral:rRNA from 1 species